rnacentral:snRNA from 1 species
AUACUUACCUGGCAGGGGAGACACCAUGAUCACGAAGGUGGUUUUCCCAGGGCCAGGCUUAUCCAUUGCACUCCAGAUGUGCUGACCCUGCGAUUUCCCCAAAUGUGGGAAACUCGACUGCAUAAUUUGUGGUAGUGGGGGACUGCGUUUGCGCUUUCCCCUG